ACUCCUACGGGAGGCAGCAGUGGGGAAUAUUGCACAAUGGGCGCAAGCCUGAUGCAGCCAUGCCGCGUGUGUGAAGAAGGCCUUCGGGUUGUAAAGACUUUCAGUCGUGAGGAAGGGUAGUAGUAGUAUAGCUGCUAUAUUUGACGUUAGCGAACAAGAAGAAGCGACCGGCUAACUCCGUGCCAGCAGCCGCGGUAAUACGGAGGGUGCGAGCGUUAAUCGGAAUUACUGGGCGUAAAGCGCAUGCAGGUGGUUUGUUAAGUCAGAUGUGAAAGCCCGGGGCUCAACCUCGG
rnacentral:rRNA from 1 species